rnacentral:rRNA from 1 species
CCUACGGGGGGCAGCAGUGAGGAAUAUUGGUCAAUGGACGAGAGUCUGAACCAGCCAAGUAGCGUGAAGGAUGACUGCCCUAUGGGUUGUAAACUUCUUUUAUAUGGGAAUAAAAUGUUCCACGUGUGGGAUUUUGUAUGUACCAUAUGAAUAAGGAUCGGCUAACUCCGUGCCAGCAGCCGCGGUAAUACGGAGGAUCCGAGCGUUAUCCGGAUUUAUUGGGUUUAAAGGGAGCGUAGGUGGUUUGUUAAGUCAGUUGUGAAAGUUUGCGGCUCAACCGUGAAAUUGCAGUUGAAACUGUCAGUCUUGAGUACAGUAGAGGUGGGCGGAAUGCGUGGUGUAGCGGUGAAAUGCUUAGAGAUCACGAAGAACUCCGAUUGCGAAGGCAGUUCACUGGACUGCAACUGACACUGAGGCUCGAAAGUGUGGGUAUCAAACAGGAUUAGAUACCCCAGUAGUC